rnacentral:lncRNA from 13 species
UUAUUUACAGUGCUGCUCCUGAAAUCUUACACUUUCAGUAAGUUUUCUUCUUUUUUCUCUGACUCCUUAUAGGAACUAUCCUUGUCUCAGCUGAUGGUAGUCUGAAGUUGAAUAGACAGUGUUAUGUGUCUUGCCCAAGUAAAGAACUGGUGUACAAAUAUCACAGAGUGGGAAAAGAAUGAGUGCUGCCUGUUUAAUUCACAAGGUGAGUACUGGUUUUGCUACAACAGUUUUGUGUGUGCUACACGAAGUACCAUGUGUAAAUGGCACUGAAUGCAUGCAUUUGAAAAUUAUCAGUAAC